rnacentral:rRNA from 1 species
GUGUCAGCAGCCGCGGUAAUACGGAGGAUGCAAGCGUUAUCCGGAAUGAUUGGGCGUAAAGCGUCCGCAGGUGGCAAUGUAAGUCUGCUGUUAAAGAGUCUAGCUCAACUAGAUAAAAGCAGUGGAAACUACAUAGCUAGAGUACGUUCGGGGCAGAGGGAAUUCCUGGUGUAGCGGUGAAAUGCGUAGAGAUCAGGAAGAACACCGGUGGCGAAGGCGCUCUGCUAGGCCGUAACUGACACUGAGGGACGAAAGCUAGGGGAGCGAAUGGGAUUAGAUACCCCAGUAGUCC